UAGGGAAUCUUCGGCAAUGGACGAAAGUCUGACCGAGCAACGCCGCGUGAGUGAAGAAGGUUUUCGGAUCGUAAAACCCUGUUGGUAGAGAAGAACGUUGGUGAGAGUGGAAAGCUCAUCAAGUGACGGUAACUACCCAGAAAGGGACGGCUAACUACUUGCCAC
rnacentral:rRNA from 1 species